AACGCGAAGAACCUUACCUGGGCUCGAACGGCUGCAGAUCGCCGGUGGAAACACUGGUUUUCCCGCAAGGGACUGUAGUCGAGGUGCUGCAUGGCUGUCGUCAGCUCGUGUCGUGAGAUGUUGGGUUAAGUCCCGCAACGAGCGCAACCCUUGCCCUGUGUUGCUAACCGAAAGGUGCACUCUCAGGGGACCGCCAGCGAUAAGUUGGAGGAAGGUGGGGAUGACGUCAAGUCAUCAUGGCCUUUAUGUCCAGGGCUACACACGUGCUACAAUGGGCGGUACAAAGCGCUGCGAACCCGCGAGGGGAAGCUAAUCGCAAAAAACCGCUCUCAGUUCGGAUUGCAGGCUGCAACUCGCCUGCAUGAAGCUGGAAUCGCUAGUAAUGGCAUAUCAGAACGAUGCCGUGAAUACGUUCCCGGGCCUUGUACACACCGACAUA
rnacentral:rRNA from 1 species